GACAGAGGAUGCAAGCGUUAUCCGGAAUGAUUGGGCGUAAAGCGUCUGUAGGUGGCUUUUAAGUCCGCCGUCAAAUCCCAGGGCUCAACCCUGGACAGGCGGUGGAAACUACCAAGCUGGAGUACGGUAGGGGCAGAGGGAAUUUCCAGUGGAGCGGUGAAAUGCGUAGAUAUUGGAAGACCACCAAUGGCGAAGGCACUCUACUGGGCCCAUUUACUGACACGAGAGACGAAAGCUAGGGGAGCGAAUGGG
rnacentral:rRNA from 1 species